rnacentral:tRNA from 2 species
GCGGGAAUAGCUCAGUUGGUAGAGCACGACCUUGCCAAGGUCGGGGUCGCGAGUUCGAGUCUCGU